GGCAGCCGUCUCUGUCCCUGAGACCCUUAACCUGUGAGGGCAGCGCAGAAUUCACAGGUGAGGUUCUUGGGAACCGAGCGACUGGCCC
ensembl:miRNA